UUUUUUUGUUUUUUGUUUUUUAUUUUUGUCUUUUUAGGGGCAUACCCAUGGCUUAUGGAGGUUUCCAAGCUAGGGGUCCACUUGGAGCUGUAGCCACCAGCCUACACCACAGCCACAGCCACAGCAACGUGGGAUCCGAGCUGUAUCUGCAACCUACACCACAGCUCACGGCAACGCUGGAUCCUUAACCCACUGAACGAGGCCAGGGAUCAAACCCACAUCCUCAUGGAUGCUAGUUGGGUUCAUUAAUGGCUGAGCCAUGAUGGGAACUCCGUACCUGCUUUUUGAAGAGGGCAUUGGACAAGAAUAGGGAGGGAGAUAAGUCUUCAUGCCUUUCUUGGUGGAGCCGUGGUUCUGCUGGAAACUAAGUGACUGACAUGCCGGUGACAUGUCUGGAGGUGAAGAGCAGCUGAUCAGUCUGGCCAGGGCCAGGGUUGACCACACUGCGCCUGGGGGGUUAAGUCUCUAGGCAGGUGUGACAGUGGUGCCACAUCCGAGGACUGUUCUAGAAACACAGGUCUCUCACCUAUUUCCCGCUUCACCAUUGCUUGGUCUUGGCGUGUUUGAAGGUGUUACGUGAACAUUUAACUGCCUUUCCUCUCUCUGGUUGGUCCUGUCUCCCUGUGUUAGAGGCAGCCACGCACAGCGAAGAGACUUGUCACCUCACCAAGCAAGAGACUCCCCUGAGUUCUCCUCUGCCCUCUCCCUUCCAUCUCAGUCGGUGGCUUGUCUGACACAGCUGGCAUUGUUUGGUGUUAGGGAGACACAACCUGGCUUUGUUGUGGAAACUGCUCUAUCAGGUCUGGGUGCUGUGGGCUGGGGAAGCUGGAGCCUGGGAACGAGGCUGGAGAGCACAUAACACAUGGGUGGUCUGGGCCCUACUUGCCAGCUGAUGAGGGAGCUCAGGCUGACAUCAGCGCAUGUGGUCUAUUGAGGGCUUUUCACAUGGUAGAGGCAGAGCUACGGCAAAGACGAACCACUUCUGUGCCCCCACAUCCAGUCCACAGUCUUUGCAUGAAGCUGAAACUGGAAUGAUUUUAGGAGAUAAAAACAGGGGGCAUGGACCAGGGUGCCAGGCUGAGGAGGUGCCUGUAACUACGUAACUACGCCUGUUUCAUUCCUGGAAGGGGGCCGGCCCCAUCCUGGGGCGAUGCACCUCCUUCCAAGCAAGUGAAUUCUCAGAGGAAUAUAUCAGGGCCUGGAAUUUUCUCCCUGAGGCUCUUUGCAUAAAAUGUGAGAUCAAAUGCAAACAGAUUAAGAAAUAAAAGGCAAAUCUGCCUCGGGAUUGAUGAGGAUCCUGAUGGUGAAAGAUAAAUAGCACCUUAGUUAUUUCAGCUCUGGUUCCUUCCCAGAUUCGGUUUCCUGGGGGAGCUUCUGCAGACGGAGAGGGCAAGGAGGACAAAACUGUUUUCAAGGGACCUGCCUGACAGAGGGAGGGGAGAGGGAACCUUCCAUCCUGCAGAGAAGCCAUGGCUUUGCAGGGUGAGGGACCCACUCACCCUAGGUGCUGUCAGGCUGGGGACAGGAAGCUUCUGUUUUUUUUCUUCCCUGGAUGGUGGUUGGCUUCCAGGGGGUCUUUGUCUCUGCUACACUUCAGCAUCCCCCCUUGGCUCUGAAAUCCGUCAAAAUGAAUCUUAACUAAAAAAUCAUUUUUAUACACGAUAGGAGUGAGCUGUCUCUCUGGCUCCCUCUCUCCCUCCCGGCUUGCUCUGCUUCUUCCUCUCAGUGCAGGUGCUGAGAAAAUUUCCAGGGAAUUGGCAACUCCCACCCCGCCCCCACUCCUGACACCUCUCCUAGCCCAGAUUACACAAUUCCUGGUGCCUGCAGCAAUUUCCCCCUGAGCCAGUGCUCAUUCCCUAGCCCAAUUAGUUCCAUAUUCCCGGAUCUCCCUUUUAUUUUUCCUAUUUACACGAGAAAAAGGGAUUUGAGUGUCUUUCUUGGUUAGUUGAAUACAGGACGGUAUGCUGAGCUCCUGAAUUUCAUGUCUGUGUCUCCAAAAUGUUGAUGGAUGAAUUUUCAGGGUUUCAAAUCUUCCUUGGUGCCUGGUAACCUGAGCCAAGGGACAGCCACAGGGGCAUCGUGGGGGAAGGGAGGUGCUCUGCGCCUCUGAGAAAGGAGUCAAUGAACAACAGGCCUAGGAAGCGACGUCUUCCUGGCUCCCUCCGUGGAAAGGAAGACACCUAGGAAGGCCUGUGUUGUCCUUUGCGGUGACUCUGCUGUCCCCAGAUGCUGUCGGGGGUCAUCUAAGGAGACUUGGGCUAGCAGGCCACCCACAGGCGUGCACAUUUGGAUUCUCUGAGUCCUCUAGGAGUAGAGAAACCUGUGCAGAGGUUUCCCCCCCAUCCCCACCCCACAAGAUGUCAGAAGCUGGAUUCCCUGAUAUGACUGGAUUCCAUGGAGACAGUCACCCGGACCAAUACCGGUGAGCCUUUUCUGAACAAGCCCUUCUGUUUUCAACGCCAUCACAAAGGCACCUCCUCCUUGGGGCUAGAUCCACCAUCCUGGCCAGCAGCCCAGGGGAGACACCAGGGAGGAAGCCCGAAGCCCAAGAAGGGAGGGUGGCUGUGCCUGAGACCGCUGGGUGCAGGCCAACACCUUAAGAAGGUGAUGGCAGGAGGAGAACUGGAGGCAGGGCAAUUCCAGGAAUUAGGGCUCUGACCUCAGGAGGUAGAGGCAGGCCAAAGCUCCCUGGAAGACCAGGAGCCUUCUCCCGAGUUUGGCCAGGGACCCUCGGGCCGCCCUGCCCCAGGACAGUGCCAGCUGCUCUCCUUGCCUCAGCCACAGCUCUGGGCUUGGUCCAAGACGAUCGAUCUGCGAGUGAAGUGUGAGCCUGGGCCAGAGGCGGGAGCCAGGACACCCCUGGCGAGCCCAAGAGCCUCCGGGGAGUCCUGUUCCAGGUCCCCAGCCGGCGCUCAGGGGGAUCCCCACAAGGGGGCGGAGGGAAACCCCGGGGACCCGAGGGAGGAAGCGAGCCCGGUGGCCCGGCGGGCAUCCCAGCGCCUUCGCCGCGCGCUUCUCUGGGCAGAAGGUGAGGAAGGGGCGAGAGAGACCCUCCGCUCCUCGGAAACUUCGAGUGAACCCC
ensembl:lncRNA